UACAGAGGUCUCGAGCGUUGUUCGGAUUCAUUGGGCGUAAAGGGUGCGUAGGUGGCGUGGUAAGUUUGAUGUGAAAGCUCAGGGCUUAACCCUGAAAUGGCAUUGAAUACUACUGUGCUGGAGGUUUGGAGGGGGGACUGGAAUUCUUGGUGUAGCAGUGAAAUGCGUAGAUAUCAAGAGGAACACCAGUGGCGAAGGCGAGUCCCCGGACAACACCUGACACUGAGGCACGAAAGCUAGGGGAGCAAACAGG
rnacentral:rRNA from 1 species